rnacentral:rRNA from 1 species
UAAUACAGAGGGUGCGAGCGUUAAUCGGAGUUACUGGGCGUAAAGGGCGCGUAGGCGGUUAUAUGAGUGUGAUGUGAAAGCCCUGGGCUUAACCUAGGAAGUGCAUCGCAAACGAUAUGACUGGAGUAUGAGAGAGGGUGAUGGAAUUUCCGGUGUAGCGGUGAAAUGCGUAGAGAUCGGAAGGAACGUCGAUGGCGAAGGCAGUCACCUGGCUCAAUACUGACGCUGAGGCGCGAAAGCGUGGGGAGCGAACAGGAUUAGAUACCCUGGUAGUCCACGCUGUAAACGAUGAGAACUAGAUGCUGGUAGGGGAACCUAUCGGUAUCGAAGCUAACGCGAUAAGUUCUCCGCCUGGGAAGUACGGCCGCAAGGUUG